ACAAUGGAGAGUUUGAUCCUGGCUCAGGAUGAACGCUAGCUACAGGCUUAACACAUGCAAGUCGAGGGGAAACGAUAUUGGAAGCUUGCUUCCGAUAGGCGUCGACCGGCGCACGGGUGAGUAACGCGUAUCCAACCUGCCCACCACUUGGGGAUAACCUUGCGAAAGUAAGACUAAUACCCAAUGACGUCU
rnacentral:rRNA from 1 species